UUUUCCUACCAAAAUUGGUAGAUUUUUUUCUCGUUGUAAAUCGGAGGAUCUCAAAGUUUUUAACCGCAACUCGAAGAAGUUAAUGGCAAACCCGCAGCGCGCAGAUUUUCCCUUCAGCCCGUCGGCUCCUAGACCCGGACAUUUGGCAAGCCUAA